GGCUUGUAUGAUAUGUUUUGCUGGGCGAAACUGCUGGCUAGUCCCUAUUUCGUAGGUCAGGUUGAGUGACGUCUGUUCUAUCAGGUCAGUCCUAGUGGGUGCCUGCGUCUGUUUCCAUCUCCUGGCUAACAGGAGGUUUGCUGCUGUCAAGAUGUGAAAUAAUAGGCCCGCUUGUGGUUUUGGGUGGGAGUCCAGUGAUAUAAAUAGUAAGGCACAUUCUGG